AGUAUUGUAGCCAAUGAGGUUAAUCCGAGGCGCGAUUAUUGCUAGGUGAAAAUCUCUUCUGAU
rnacentral:snRNA from 1 species